CGAAAGGAGACGCAUCCCUUGUCUGUGUUUCACACAAGAACUUCACGAUCCUCUUCUACCACUGUGAUUGAUCAGCCACAAUAUUAAAACCACUGACAGGCAAAGAGAAUAACAUUGAUAUUGUUUUAAUAGCACCUGUCAAGGGGUGGGAUAUAUAAGGCCAGCCCAUCUGAUCCGAUCAUACAGAAAAACUACUGUAGCUCAAAUUGCUGAAAAACAUAAUGCUGGCCAUGAGAGAAAGUUGAUAGAACACACAGUGCUUCGAAUUUCGCGGCUUGUGAGGCUGCAUAGCUCUAGUUCAUUCAGAGCCCUGUCCACCACCAAAAGCACCUUCAAUGGGGAUGUAAUCCUCAGAACUGGAACAUGGAAUGGAGCAAUGGAAGAAGGUUGCCUGGUCUUGUGAAUCAAUGUUUUAUUGUAGAUCAGGUGUAUGUCAUUUACCUGGGAAAGAGAUGGCAGCAGAUUGCACUAUGGGGGGAACGUAGGCCGGCGGUGGAAGCGUUAUACUCUGGGCAAUGUUAUGAUGGAAAACCUUGGGUCCUGGCAUUCAUGUAAAUAUUACAUUGACAUGUACUUUUUUUGGGGCAGAGCCUAGCUGUUGAAGGAGAUGGACACAUUGCCUCAGAGCUUCAUAGAAACAUAGAAUGUGACGGCAGAUAAGAACCAUUUGGCCCAUCUAGUCUGCCCGAUUUUAUAAAUAAUUUCAUUAGUCCCUGGCCUUAUCUUAUAGCUAGAAUAGCGUUAUGCCUAUCCCACACAUGCUUAAACUCCUUUACUGUGUUGACCUCUACCACUUCAGCUGGAAGGCUAUUCCAUGCAUCCACUACCCUCUCAGUAAAGUAAUACUUCCUGAUAUUAUUUUUAAACCUUUGUCCCUCUAAUUUAAGACUAUGUCCUCUUGUUGUGGAAGUUUUUCUUCUUUUAAAUAUAGUCUCCUCCUUUACUGUGUUGAUUCCCUUUAUGUAUUUAAAUGUUUCUAUCAUAUCCCCUCUGUCUCGUCUUUCCUCCAAGCUAUACAUGUUUAGAUCCUUUAACCUUUCCUGGUAAGUUUUAUCCUGCAAUCCAUGAACCAGUUUAGUAGCCCUUCUCUAAACUCUCUCUAAGGUAUCAAUAUCCUUCUGAAGAUAUGGUCUCCAGUACUGCAUACAAUACUCCAAGUGAGAUCUCACCAGUGUUCUGUACAAUGGCAUGAGUACUUCCCUCUUUCUACUGCUAAUAC